UCAAAGUAUUAUUAACACCAUCACUUUUUAACCAAUUAAAAUGAUUACUUAACCUUAAAUGAGGCCUGGACCUUAUAUACUUGAAUAAGGGGCCGAUUACAUGGACCGGACAGCUGAGCGAGAUGACUUUUAAUUUACAAUUACAUGUAGUGUGCCUGCUCGGUUAACUGGGCUGAAGUAAGCUCAUUAUAUUGAAAAGUUUUAAUACUUGAACAAUCGUUGCUGGAUAUUAUAACUAAAGAGUGUUUAUAUGCGGAAUUUUAGGGCUUCCCUACAUUGUGAUUAGUAUUCGUUGAUGUAUUUAUAUUAGAUAUUGUUUCGCUUAUGC
rnacentral:lncRNA from 1 species